rnacentral:sRNA from 1 species
GCUGGAUGUGGUGGUGCAUAUCUGUAUUCCCAGUGACUCUGGAGGCUGAGGCAGAAGGAUUGCAAGUUGGAGGCCAGCUUUAGCAAUUUAGUGAGUCCCUA